GCGGUGCCCAGAGGCCGCCCCGCGUGCCCGGCCCGAGGGCGGGCACCGGUAAGGGAGGGCCCAGGUCAGGGCUUCCCGCCAGCGUUCGUCCCGGCCCCGCAGCUUCCUGCGCCGGAGCGGCCCAGAGGCAGAGGCCUGAGCUGGAGCACACGCCAGGAGGGCUAAGGUUCCCGGGAGAGGGGUCGAGAAGGCAGCAGGGUCCUCCCGCCGCUGAGGUUUGGCCUCGGGAGCAGCAGAUGGUCGGCGGGAGCUCAACCCGAAACGCAGAAGGGGACUCCUGAGCCCAGGACGUGCUCUCGAGGGAGAUGUCACACGUCGCAGUCACGUGAGAGUGCUCCCAUGACCUCGAGCUCGGAGUAGAGUCAAGGUGGAAGACAGACUCAGGCAAGAAGCCCGGCACCGUCUGCUUCUCAGCUGCAGCCAGCAAAUGACAAAGCUGGCAAAAUCACGGCACGACAAGUGCACCUUACAGGAUUCCCAGAAGAUCUGCUGUGUGCACUGACCACGCGGGCGUCGGACAAGCAGCACGCUGGGUUUACUGCCCGCGAGUAAACACUCUGGGGGCCACAGAGAAGCUGCUGAUCUGGACUAAGGAGGGAAUGGCAGG
rnacentral:lncRNA from 1 species